rnacentral:rRNA from 1 species
UACGUAGGGGGCUAGCGUUGUCCGGAAUCAUUGGGCGUAAAGCGCGUGUAGGCGGUUCGGUAAGUCCGCUGUGAAAGUCGGGGGCUCAACCCUCGGAUGCCGGUGGAUACUGUCGGGCUUGAGUACGGAAGAGGCGAGUGGAAUUCCUGGUGUAGCGGUGAAAUGCGCAGAUAUCAGGAGGAACACCGAUGGCGAAGGCAGGUCUCUGGGCCACUACUGACGCUGAGAAGCGAAAGCGUGGGGAGCGAACAGG